rnacentral:rRNA from 1 species
AUUGAACGCUGGCGGCAGGCCUAACACAUGCAAGUCGAACGAAUGGCGGACGUGUUAGUAAUGUCUGGGAAACUGCCCGCUGGAGGGGGACAACUACUGGACACGGUAGCUAAUACCGCAUUCCAUCGGAUGUGCCCAGAUGGGAUUAGCUAGUAGGUGGGGUAACGGCUCACCUAGGCGACGAUCCGUAGCUGGUCUGUGAGGAUGACCAGCCAGACUGGAACUGAGACACGGUCCAGACUCCUACGGGAGGCAGCAGUGGGGAAUAUUGGAAAAUGGGCGCAAGCCUGAUGCAGCCAGGCCGCGUGUAUGAAGAAGGCCUUCGGGUCGUAAAGUACUUUCAGCGAGGAGGCGUUACUCGCAGAAGAAGCACCGGCUAACUCCGUGCCAGCAGCCGCGGUAAUUC